CUGAUUUUCGGGGAUAUACUAUCCCUUCGGUGUGGGUGUGAUCGAGUUCAAGGACUCGCGAAUAACUUGUUCCAGUUUCUAAAACAGUCAGCCCCAAAUAAUGUGACCAAUGUGACCAGUGAAUAAGAAUAUCCAAGAGCAAAACAAAAUCAAGAACUCCCGCAGAUGCCGCAUUUGCAGCUCCAAGUUCUUCAGCGUUUCAUCCAAGUCCCGGUUUAAUUUGCAGCUCCAGUUUCGCGCUCGGUUCUCUGGGUUUUCCUGCAAUUUCCGCGGUUUCCUUCUUUUGUUCCCUUCGUUCCGUUUUCGCGUCGCGGUUUGUUAUUGUCAACUUUCGUUUUCGUGCGGUUUUUCGCGGCUUUUCUAACGGUCCAACGACGGACGGCAAAUGGAUAGUGAAACUGGCUUGGAUUUCCAAUAGCUUCUAAGUACUCAGCAUUUUCCGAGGGAAACUCUCGAGAAAGGACAUGGAUUAACAACUAAGCUUUCAAUCAAAGGAUUUGAGAACAACGGCGGCCACAACAAGACAAAAUACUUUGGAAGCUCUUUAAGCAACUUA